GUCUUUGAGAUAUUAAAAGUUAUAAUUUUGGCCGAUGACUUCACCAUCCCCCCAUAUCGCUCCAAAACAAACCAAAGUGGGCUAGUUCGUUAGUGCUCCGUUUGUGCAGGUUUGUGCCGUUGAAAUUUUCGUUUGUGCAGUUUUGGUUUCUGAGAUAUUAAAAAUUAUUUUUUAGGUCAUCUAGAGUUCACCAUCCCCCCAUAUCGCUCCAAAACAAACCAAAGUGGGCUAGUUCGUUAGUGCUCCGUUUGUGCAGGUUUGUGCCGUUGAAAUUUUCGUUUGUGCAGCUUUUGUUUUCGAGAUAUUAAAAGUUAUAAUUUUGGCCCAUGACGUCACCGUCACCCCAUCAUGUUCCAAACCAAAGUGGGCUACUUCUUUUAAUUCUUCAGAUUUUCAGCUGUUGUACAAUGUGUACCUUUUGUUUUGAACUUCAAUAAAGACAACAAGAAAAAAUGUGUCUCAUUUCAAGUAAUGUUUCAAGAUAGCAAUGUUUUCUCACGAACGUAGCGUUCUCUCCACAAUAAUUGAAUCCUUCUAAUAAAGGACAUGCAGCCCUGACCCUAACGUAAUGUGUAUAACCCGUUCAACUGUGCUUUGAUUUCGGAGGUGGUCUGAACAAUUAUAUUCACAUUGUUGACGUACUGUCUGCUGAUUAUGCAGCAAACGUGU